rnacentral:rRNA from 1 species
UAGGGAAUCUUCGGCAAUGGACGGAAGUCUGACCGAGCAACGCCGCGUGAGUGAAGAAGGUUUUCGGAUCGUAAAGCUCUGUUGUUAGAGAAGAACGUUGGUAGGAGUGGAAAAUCUACCAAGUGACGGUAACUAACCAGAAAGGGACGGCUAACUACGUGCCAGCAGCCGCGGUAAUACGUAGGUCCCGAGCGUUGUCCGGAUUUAUUGGGCGUAAAGCGAGCGCAGGCGGUUCUUUAAGUCUGAAGUUAAAGGCAGUGGCUUAACCAUUGUACGCUUUGGAAACUGGAGGACUGGAGUGCAGAAGGGGAGGGUGGAAUUCCAUGUGUAGCGGUGAAGUGCGUAGAUAUAUGGAGGAACACCGGUGGCGAAAGCGGCUCUCUGGUCUGUAACUGACGCUGAGGCUCGAAAGCGUGGGGAGCAAACAGG